rfam:Aedes albopictus isolate Foshan contig70503, whole genome shotgun sequence.
UUUUCUGUGGCUUAGUUGGUUAAAGCGCCGAUCUAGCGACACGAAGUCGUGGGAUUGAAUCCCACUAAAACAA